CUCCUUUCUCCUUUCAUGUUGUGCUUUCUUUUACUCACUGAGAGAGACGCCCAUCCUGUGUUAGAUUCCUGUUGAGUACUGGAUACUGUUGAGCCAGUCCACUAAAGAAACAUCCGGCAUGGGCAGCUGGACAAGGAAACAAACCCCAUAUCUGGACCAAUAUGUGUGUAAAUAAAACACCACUGGACACAGCAUGCAAUCUAUUUUUGUAAGUAUCCCAUGCAGGGGUUUUUCCUGAGGACCAGAAAUGCCACGUGCUGUUCAGUGUUACCCAAGCCCUCAGAUCUGUAGUGUCUUCUCCUUCUCCGAAUGGCACAUUGCCCAGGAGGCAAGGGAAGUCCAGCUAGAGCACCCACCCACUGUCCCCUCCCCAGUCCUCACAAGAUUGACCACUAACUUCACUUUAAGGCUUGGCAGGCUCGUAGUCCUUUUUUUAACCUUCAAAGGCCCCACAGCUAAAAUUUGAGCCACCAGACAGCCAGGGGGAAUCUCUCUCGUAUAGAGCUAUUCCACACAUAAUCCUUAGUGCACACACAUACUCACUCAAUAUUCAUUAAGACUUAUUUGUUCGUUCAUUCAUUCAUUCAUUCAUUCAUUCAUUUGGCUUGUGAGACAGUUUUACUUCAUAUUCCAAACUUGCUUGGAACUCACCCUAUAUAAUCCAAGUUAGUCUUGAACCCACCAGCAUUCUCCCACCUCAGCCUCCCAAGUGCCGAAGCAGUGUUCUCAACCUAUAGGUCACAACCCCUUUGAGGGUUGAACCACCCUUUCAAUAUUUACCAGAUAUUUGCAUUACAAUUCAUAACAGGAGCAAAAUUACAGUUAUGAAGUAGCAAUGAAAUAAUUUUAUGGUGGGGGGGUCACCACAAUGUGAGGAACCGUAUUAAAGGGUCACAGCUCUGGGAGUGUUGAAAACCACUAUGCAAAGGUGACAGGUUUGAACCAGUUUGAUGGUUAACACCGUAAAUUUGAUGAGCCCUAGAACCGCCCAUCAGUGUCUCUGGGCAUACUUGUGAGGAAUUAUUUAAAGUAAUCCUCUGGACCUGGCUGUGAACAACUGUCAAGAUGAUCUUGCGAUGAGAAGACAUAUUCUCAGUAUGGGUGAUGCCAUUCUACUGGACAGAACAGCUAUAAAGAAAGGAGUGAUCUGAGCACCAUAUUCAGUAUUCUCUGUUAACUAAAACUCAUACAGAGUCUCCACCCGCUUCAGGUUCCUGCUGCCAUAGCGUCUCCACCGUGAAGAACUGUCUGCCUCCAAACCAUGAGCCAAAACAAACCCCUUCUUCAUCGAGUUGCUUGUUCCACAUUUUGUUUUAGCAGCAAGAUAAUCCACCAUGCCCGACUCAAGCACAAUCAAUUUCUAAGGUUCAAUGUGUGUAACACGACAUUUUCCAGGAACCCUGGUAGGUCCUUAAUGGAUGUUGUAUUUCUUCUGAAGAACUGAAGAGACUGCUUACUCUUGUCCUGGCCCCUAGCCAUCUCGUGAUUGGCUACCAGAAUCAACUAACUCCAAGCCAUCUUGUGAUUGGCUACCAGGAUCAUCUAACCACCAGUGAGACUCUGGAGAAAAGGAGGUGGCUCGCUCUAUGGUAUCUACCUGUUGGGAAGGAGGCUGUGCCAAAAUGAGCAAGCCAGUGUCCAUUAGCACUUCGAGCUGCCUGAGGCUUCCCUCUUUACCCAUGCAGCUGUUGCUCCAUUGACCUAGCCUUUAAGGUCAUGUGGGGAUGUUAGUCCUCAAGUCGUUUGGAAAGGUUGCCUUUCAGGCCUGUACGUUUUCUGUGGAUGUGACCUUCAAGGAUGGAGAGAACCUUUGACAACAUCUCCGAAGGGAGGACACAGUUUCCUUUGUUCCCCCUAGUUUUUCGCACGGUGCCGUAAAUGCUUCUUGUCUGUGUGUACAGUGAGCUUCAAGGCUGGCUUUGACACUUUGCUGGGCUGUAAGUAUUUAUUUGCUUUCUCCUGUGAGUGCAGCAGUGACUUAAAUGUGCCUCGGUGAAGAUACCAGCUACACACAGACGGCGGUUGCACCCCCUGCUGACAGGGGCCUGCAGAAUGCAGGGCUGUGGGGGUGUGCAACAGGGCAGCAAGUCUGUGCUUGCCUGGGAUCAGGCAGCCUCCCUAAAUGUUAGUCUGACUUCAGAGAAGCUGGAUUCCCAGGACAAGACUUCCUUUGUUGGCCUGAUCUGAGAAGGCUGUGGUGCCUGGUACAAGCUCAUGCCUCGGGAUCCUGGUGUCUAGCUGAGGAAAGCAUUUUACUUCUCUCAGAGAGAGAAGCGCACCAAAAACCUUCUGGUGGCGUGCUGCAGUUUGUUGCCGCUUCCACAGACUCCGACUGAUUGGAUGCGAGAGCUGAGGCAAGACACAUGCUGAAGCAGGCCCAGGAGAGAGGAUGUUCAGGUACAUCAAGUGUGUGAAAUGAUGCACACAGAGGACAUUGGAGGGUAUAACUAAGACUCCACGGAGUGACAGACAGAGCCAGGCUUGCUGGUACAGACAGCUAGCUGUGCAAUGCUUGUGGGUCUCCAGUUUUCGUUGAUCUUUGCUUCCCUGAGAGAGGCACAGCAGAGAACUUCUGGCGUUCAGCUGGUCCCUCCUGAUGACUCAAGCGAGGCUGAGGCCUGGCUGUCUCUGCUAGGUGGUGCCACCGCGGUUGUUAACUUGACUCUACUGAACUGGACUGCUAGUGUAUCAGUGAGGUGUAGGUGUUUGCAAGUGGAUUGAGCUGCUGCAGCCUGCUAACCUGUGAACUGAACUGAUGAUUACCAAACAACACAGAUGGGAAAUGCUACAAAAAAAAAAAAAAAAACAAAAACAAAAAACCAAAAAACAAACAAAAAAAACCCAAUCCUUUCUAAACAGGUCCACUUCCCCCAUAUUGUUUCUUUUCUACUACCUCUGAUGAGUGGUGGGAUACAAGGGAGGUUAAAGCACUUAAGAACCAUCAUUAAAAAUAGGAUUUGAAAAAAAAUAAAGUUAACUCAUCCUCUUUAGUCCCUA